CCAAUCUGAAACUUGCGCGCCAGACGCCUGUGGUGUUUCGCUCGGUGUUGGGUAUCAGCUGGAUGUGGUUCUUCGGAGCGGUGUUCCUGAGCCUGUUCCCCGCCUUUGCGAAGGAUGUGUUG
rnacentral:ncRNA from 1 species